rnacentral:misc_RNA from 1 species
GUGAAUCAUCAAAUCUUUGAACGCAAAUUGCACUCUCCUCGGAGAGUAUGCCUGUUUGAGGGUCAGCCUAUAAAAAAUCGACAUCGUUGCUGUUUCGCGGUGGCGUUCGUCGGAAAUUGGGUCAUCUUAAAUCUUUUGGUUUUAAGCGACUUAAAAUUUUCUUUUUGGUUCUACGAACGUUUCUAAGAUUUAUUUCUUUACACGUUUAAGGUAUCGAUUUUUAUUAGACGUGACCAUCAUAUCGGAUCGAGACAAUAAUAUUUCAUUAACUGUCUUCAGACAGG